AUUGAACGCUGGCGGCAGGCCUAACACAUGCAAGUCGAGCGAGCGGCGGACGGGUGAGUAAUGUAUGGGGACUGCCCGAUAGAGGGGGAUAACUACUGGAAACGGUGGCUAAUACCGCAUACUAUCGGAUAACCCAUAUGGGAUUAGCUAGUAGGUGGGGUAAAGGCUCACCUGGGCGACGAUCUCUAGCUGGUCUGAGAGGCUGAUCAGCCACACGGUGACUGAGAAACGGCCCAGACUCCUACGGGGUCAGCGUUGGGAAAUAUUGCACAAUGGGCGCAAGCUUGAUGAAGCAAUGCCGCGUGUAUGAGGAAGUUCUUAGGGUUUUAAAGUACUUUCAGCGGGGAGGCGUUACCCGCAGAAGAAGCACCGGCUAACUCCGUGCCAGCAGCCGCGGUAAUUC
rnacentral:rRNA from 1 species